rnacentral:rRNA from 1 species
GGUUUUCGGACCUAGAGACCGGCGCACGGGUGCGUAACGCGUAUGCAAUCUACCUUUUACAGAGGGAUAGCCCAGAGAAAUUUGGAUUAAUACCUCAUAGUAUAAUGACUCGGCAUCGAGAUAUUAUUAAAGUCACAACGGUAAAAGAUGAGCAUGCGUCCCAUUAGCUUGUUGGUAAGGUAACGGCUUACCAAGGCAACGAUGGGUAGGGGUCCUGAGAGGGAGAUCCCCCACACUGGUACUGAGACACGGACCAGACUCCUACGGGAGGCAGCAGUGAGGAAUAUUGGUCAAUGGGCGCAAGCCUGAACCAGCCAUGCCGCGUGCAGGAUGAAGCAUCUAUGGUGUGUAAACUGCUUUUGUACGAGAAGAAACACUCCUUCGUGAAGGAGCUUGACGGUAUCGUAAGAAUAAGGACCGGCUAACUCCGUGCCAGCAGCCGCGGUAAUACGGAGGGUCCAAGCGUUAUCCGGAAUCAUUGGGUUUAAAGGGUCCGUAGGCGGUUUUGUAAGUCAGUGGUGAAAGCCCAUCGCUCAACGGUGGAACGGCCAUUGAUACUGCAAGACUUGAAUUAUUAGGAAGUAACUAGAAUAUGUAGUGUAGCGGUGAAAUGCUUAGAGAUUACAUGGAAUACCAAUUGCGAAGGCAGGUUACUACUAAUGGAUUGACGCUGAUGGACGAAAGCGUGGGGAGCGAACAGGAUUAGAUACCCUGGUAGUCCACGCCGUAAACGAUGGAUACUAGCUGUUCGGAGCAAUCUGAGUGGCUAAGCGAAAAUGAUAAGUAU